CUAGAAUCUUGGUGUGCUUGCAGGCUUUGAAGAACAAGCUGCCAUGAAUCCUGCAGCUACAAGGAAAUGAACUCUAUUAACUUGAGUGAGCUUAAAACUAGAUCCUUCCCCAGUCAAGCCUCCAGGUGAGAAUUCAAUCCUGGCUGGCACCUGGAUUGCAGCUUACAGAAGACCCAGCUAAGGCCAUGUCUGGACUUUAAAUCCACAGGAACUGCAAGGAAAACAGACCUCCACAUAGGAUCUGAAGAAGUGUUGUAAAAUAAAUGGAAAAUAUGACCUCUCUUGCUGGAAUAAGAGAUUUUCAGUUAAGUGCCCAUUUCCACAAAGUGUUUGUGCUGUAGUAAGUUGGGCGAUUAUCAUCCAUUGUCUUGGACUCAACCUUCUUGGACUCUCAUGAGUAACAUUAGCACCGGGAUCCAAACUGACAGCACAAGAUGAACUAUGACACGGAGUCCAAAGAUUGUAGUUGUGCUGUCAGGGUGAUGGGCUAUGCACAUGAACAGGCACUCCAGGUAUGUGUCAGUAAGCACACUGGGUCGAAGCGGACAAGGACAGGCUGACUUACGGUGUCCGUUGUGCUUGUGCUGUCUGAGCAGAAACUCCCUCCAUCCCUCAGCACCACUAUGGUAUCAGAAGUGGGACCUGCAGUGGGGCAUCUAGCAACCCCCAGGAGCAUUGAGUGACCAGGCUUGGGACCCACCGGGCGCAGGGUGUCCAUUGUUCUCUCGAAGCAACUGAGAAUUGUGGAUAUUCUUCAUUAUUCCAUCAUCAUCUCAAACCUCUUGGGUAUAGUGUUUGACUACUACUGUGACCAUAAAUUCCAAUAAAACCUAGGAAAAAUGAAACCACUACAUUAACUGAAAGGAUGUGCCUGUCACAGUCUCCACCAGAAGCUUUAUCUUACUACAGAGUCCAGAUGCAUUAAGGCUGUGUUCGAGCCAUGAUCUUCCUCUGAAGAAGAAAUGAAGAAGAAAUUUAUCUUAUUUUUGGAUAUAGUGUUCUUAGUUGGCAGUUUAAUUAUUAUUUUUACUUCAUCACUUUGUAUACGUCAUCGCACUUUCUCCUGGCCUAUAAGAUCUCUCCUGAGAAAUUUUACGUUCUACUUUACUGGAACUUCAUUAAAUAUUAUUUGCAUCAUU
rnacentral:lncRNA from 1 species